rnacentral:rRNA from 1 species
UACGUAGGGGGCAAGCGUUGUCCGGAUUUACUGGGCGUAAAGAGCGCGCAGGCGGUUCAUCAAGUCGGAUGUGAAAGCCCCCGGCUUAACUGGGGAGGGUCAUUCGAUACUGUUGGGCUUGAAGGCAGGAGAGGGAAGUGGAAUUCCCGGUGUAGUGGUGAAAUGCGUAGAUAUCGGGAGGAACACCAGUGGCGAAGGCGACUUCCUGGCCUGUUCUUGACGCUGAGGCGCGAAAGCUGGGGGAGCAAACGGG